AAGUGAUAAUAGAUGCCUAAAUAAAACAAAUGCAUAACUAGAGGGGGUAAUUAUGUAAAAAUGUUAAUUGAAGGUAUUAAUAAAAAUAAAACUCAAAAAUCACACACUCUGGUGUGUUGGGUUCGACCAAGAACAGGGGGAAACAAGGGAAACCCUUGUUUAUGCAAAAUUCAUUCAAUUGACAAGGAGAUCCAAGGCUAAUCAGUUGCAUGACUUCAAUUUUUCGAUCAUCUUAACAUACUCAGUAAAGUGGCGUGAAGGAAGAAGGUACAAGCACUAGGAAAACGGGAAGCACGCAAGAUCGAGGUAAAACUCCACUUAGGCGAUUUGGAGAUACGGAGCGAGCACGUGUCCAUGCUUUAUUAUACCAAGCGCUUCCGCUAGUUAUAUGCACACUUUUUGGGUCCAUGUCUUGUUAUUUUGUUUAAUCUUGUUAGAAGUCAUACACUUAAAAACUUGUUGUCUUCGUUUUGGGAAGUUUAAAGUUAAAUGGGUCGUAGAUUUUCGUUAGUUUAAUAUAUUAAAAACAGGUGGCAUGCUCGUUUUACGAACGGGUCAUGCCCAAUUUUUGUAAGAAUUUCGUUAUGUAUUAAAUUUGGUAUGUUGAUGUCUUUAAAAUUCUUUUUAUAAGUAGUUUAUCUUUUUAUGGAAAAGCGGACCUUACAAGUUGGUAUCAGAGCCAAGGUUUGAGGGAUUCGAGCAUUCGAGGUGAUGCUUAAACUCAAACCGACGGCUCGUUCAAAAGCAUGCUCGCUCCAAGAUCGCCAAUGAGGUAACAAUUUAAAUUUUUUUUAAUAAACGCAAGUAUGUGUAAUGUGCUUGUAAAGUUAAGUUAAGUUAAGUAUGCGAAGGGGUAAAUAUGGAGGGCAAAAUGAUGAGUUCUAGCGACCGUACGGCUGGAAACGGACCCGAAAAAGAAUUAAAAUACAAAAAUUGAAAUCUGCAGCGAAGUGAUCAAGGGGAGGCCGUCGCCGACGCCUCACCUGCCCGUCGCCGACGCCCUCAUUUGGGCCGACGCCCUAACCCACUGUCUACGGGGUUUUCACUCGACGCACAUAUUUAGAAGCCGUCGCCGACGGGCUUCCUUGCCGUCGCCGACGGCUAGCAAAAAUUUAGCCCGCUGAUUUGUAUAGUUUUUCGCAUUUUAAGUUUCCGCAUUAUAUGAAAGCCUAUUUAAUUAUUACAUAAAGUCCAUAUAAGGCCUAAUAGAGGUAUGUAACCACAAUUAGUGGUUACGAUGGGAUGGGCUCGGUAGAGUCAAAGGUAAUGUGUCGAAUGACACGAACGAAUGAUGAAAGCUUAAAAAGCGAGUGAAGCCUACAAUAUAAAAAUGCGAAUGAAGUAAACACGGACUAAUGAACUAUGAUAUACUAAAAGCUUGUGAAUUAUGAUUUAAGUUCCCAUACUUCUCAGAAAUGCCCGUUUUAUGUUCCUGUCAAGUUAUGUAGAUCGUCGGCGAUAAAGUAAGAUUUAUAAAAGUCGAAUGUAACGUAUGGAAUGGCAUGAAAUGAAUGACGAAUGUAUAAAGUGGAAUUGGAAUUCGUAUGAAAAUUUGGAUGAAUGUAUGCUAUGAUAGAAUUAUGCAUUAGAGGCUUGUAUCUUGUACAUGAAUAGCGUGAUGCUUAUGUAUAUUUAAUGAUUUGCUUUAGUAUGAUCAAGAGACGAAUAUGUGCUAAAUGUGAAUCAUACAAGCUAAUUAGUAAAGGUUAUGUUGAAAUUAUGUUAUAUAGUUGUUUCGAAUGAAAUUCGCUAAUUGUAGAAUCAUGGAGCAUUAGCAUGUGAAAAUACGUGUAUGUGAAUGUAUAUGUGUAUUGUUUAGAAGAUCACGUAAAUGGUAUAUAUCAUACAAUACGAGUACGAAAUGCGUAGGAUAUUAAUAUUAUGGUCUACCAUAUUUAGAUGAAUACAUGUUCAAAAGUUUAAAGUGUGUAAGCAAGACAGUUGACUAUCUAAAAGUCAACAGCAUAGGGAUAUUAUGAAAUAAUCAUUAGACACAAAUGCUAAAAUAAAGAGUUGAUGUGUUAUGUGUUAUGUAUUAAGUGAUUUACGUGUAAUGCUUGAUGAUAGUUUAGUUGUAUGGAUUGGAAAUGAGAUAACUAUUAAUAAUAAAUGUCUCAUUUAUACGAAAUUUGACUAACGGAAGUCAAUCAACGUAUGAAUAAAAAAAAAAAAACGGGGGAAGCAAUGAGGCAAGCAUGAACAUGGACGCUAAAGGUAAGUGAUUUCGCAAUCACUUCGAAUUUAUUUACAAGAAGAUGUAUACGUGUUUGAAUAUAUUCGAAAUCAAAGUGAAACGUAUAAAUAAGUGAGAAAUGUUAAUGUAGGUUUUGUUGAAAUGGUUGGCAGAUUGUUAAACCGACAAGACCUCAUUAUAGGGGUAGACCGGUCAUAAAUUUUAGCUAAGAAGUUUUAAGACGGAAAUGAGAACUUGGUAAUAUUGAAGAAAGGCAUGGAAAGAAUAUUACUUAAGAUGUAACUAAAGACAUUUUGUAAGUAUGUUCGAAUUGAAAGUAAGUACAACGCAUACCACGAUACUUAUAUACAUAAUAAGUUCUAAGUGGUGAUUGACUUUAAAAGGUUAAAUUGCAGAAGUCAGUAAAUAAUAAUUAUUUAUAAAUUUUGGAAGUAUUACGUAAGAAAUGCAAUGUGUAAUGUAUGAUACUCAUUAGUAAGGGAUAUGUGAGAGAACGUAGAAGAAUUAACACCAAAUACAGUGAAUGAACAAAUGAAAAUAGUAUAUUAAGGGAUGGUUAUGUAUUAACCGAAGCUCGAGAAAACGCGAGAAUCAUCUCACUUAUGUCCGGUCAAACUAGUAAAAAGGGGUCUAACGAUUCUUAAAGGAUCGGAUCAAAUGUAAGAAAGAAAGAUAAGAAUGAAAAGUUUAAGCUUACGAUUGGAUGUGAAUCAAACAGAAGAAUGAAAGGUUGGAUCCGUAAGCAAACAUGGAUCAAACCAGUAAGAAUGAAAGGUAAUAAAUUAAAGUUUGAAUCCGUAAGUGAAGGCGAAUUAAACAAGUAAGAUUAAAAAGCAAGAACGAAACUCAAAUGAGUCAAUAUUCUUGAAAGCGGAUAUUAUCUAAGUUAUGUUUUAAAUCUUUAUAUGUUUGUAUGCAAGAAUAGUUGAAAGGACAAAUGAGUCAUACGGGUCAAAUGGCGAUCGCCAUUUGAACCCGAUAUUUAAUGUUUGAUUUGUCAAGCUUUGUACUUAUAGGUGAGCAUAAUGUAUGGGCAUGCAUUUUUAUAGUUUGGAAAGAAAUAACUGUCGCAAAGUAUGGAAAACAAGUCGAGAGAUUUGACCCGCGCCAGUAAUAAAGCUGGUGGAAGGAUGCUCACGAGUGGGAGCAUAUUUCAUGAAUGAAUGAGACCAAUUCUGGUACGAAAGGUACAUAUAAAGAAACGGAUCGAUCCGGCACGCGGAUAACUGAUUUAUGCAAUGAAGGCGAGGCGUGAAGGAAGAAGGUACAAGCACUAGGAAAACGGGAAGCACGCAAGAUCGAGGUAAAACUCCACUUAGGCGAUUUGGAGAUACGGAGCGAGCACGUGUCCAUGCUUUAUUAUACCAAGCGCUUCCGCUAGUUAUAUGCACACUUUUUGGGUCCAUGUCUUGUUAUUUUGUUUAAUCUUGUUAGAAGUCAUACACUUAAAAACUUGUUGUCUUCGUUUUGGGAAGUUUAAAGUUAAAUGGGUCGUAGAUUUUCGUUAGUUUAAUAUAUUAAAAACAGGUGGCAUGCUCGUUUUACGAACGGGUCAUGCCCAAUUUUUGUAAGAAUUUCGUUAUGUAUUAAAUUUGGUAUGUUGAUGUC